rnacentral:rRNA from 2 species
CGACGAACUCUGGUAUUGAUUGGUGCUUGCAUCAUGAUUUACAUUUGAGUGAGUGGCGAACUGGUGAGUAACACGUGGGAAACCUGCCCAGAAGCGGGGGAUAACACCUGGAAACAGAUGCUAAUACCGCAUAACAACUUGGACCGCAUGGUCCGAGUUUGAAAGAUGGCUUCGGCUAUCACUUUUGGAUGGUCCCGCGGCGUAUUAGCUAGAUGGUGGGGUAACGGCUCACCAUGGCAAUGAUACGUAGCCGACCUGAGAGGGUAAUCGGCCACAUUGGGACUGAGACACGGCCCAAACUCCUACGGGAGGCAGCAGUAGGGAAUCUUCCACAAUGGACGAAAGUCUGAUGGAGCAACGCCGCGUGAGUGAAGAAGGGUUUCGGCUCGUAAAACUCUGUUGUUAAAGAAGAACAUAUCUGAGAGUAACUGUUCAGGUAUUGACGGUAUUUAACCAGAAAGCCACGGCUAACUACGUGCCAGCAGCCGCGGUAAUACGUAGGUGGCAAGCGUUGUCCGGAUUUAUUGGGCGUAAAGCGAGCGCAGGCGGUUUUUUAAGUCUGAUGUGAAAGCCUUCGGCUCAACCGAAGAAGUGCAUCGGAAACUGGGAAACUUGAGUGCAGAAGAGGACAGUGGAACUCCAUGUGUAGCGGUGAAAUGCGUAGAUAUAUGGAAGAACACCAGUGGCGAAGGCGGCUGUCUGGUCUGUAACUGACGCUGAGGCUCGAAAGUAUGGGUAGCAAACAGGAUUAGAUACCCUGGUAGUCCAUACCGUAAACGAUGAAUGCUAAGUGUUGGAGGGUUUCCGCCCUUCAGUGCUGCAGCUAACGCAUUAAGCAUUCCGCCUGGGG